UACGUAGGGGGCUAGCGUUGUCCGGAUUUAUUGGGCGUAAAGAGCGUGUAGGCGGCCAGGUAGGUCCGCUGUGAAAACUCGAGGCUCAACCUCGAGACGUCGGCGGAAACCAUCUGGCUAGAGUCCGGAAGAGGAGAGUGGAAUUCCUGGUGUAGCGGUGAAAUGCGCAGAUAUCAGGAAGAACACCCGUGGCGAAGGCGGCUCUCUGGGACGGUACUGACGCUGAGACGCGAAAGCGUGGGGAGCGAACAGG
rnacentral:rRNA from 1 species